AAGCCAUCCUCCCACCUCAGCCUCCUGAAUAGCUGGGACACAGUUGGUUGAAUCCAUGGAUGUUUGGAUCCAGCCCCUGGAUACGGAGGGCUGACUUUAAUCUUUCCCCGUCCUUAAGUAUCCUGUGAAGACAUAAAUGAUGUGUGCCAUGUCUUACACCAGCAACUGUGCACCCUUGGCCUGGGCACAUGUGGCAACUGUCCAUGCAUCAUGUUGUUUAGGUGACUUGCUGUUUCUGUCCCUACUGCUGUUGGCCCAACAAGGAAAUAUGAACUAGGAAGACUGAGCGCGGGAAAUGAUAAAGCAAACUGUGGACUUGAAUGAAAGGCAUACAGAAGAAGGUCCUCACCAGAUGCCAG